UAGGGAAUCUUCGGCAAUGGACGGAAGUCUGACCGAGCAACGCCGCGUGAGUGAAGAAGGUUUUCGGAUCGUAAAGCUCUGUUGUAAGAGAAGAACGAGUGUGAGAGUGGAAAGUUCACACUGUGACGGUAUCUUACCAGAAAGGGACGGCUAACUACGUGCCAGCAGCCGCGGUAAUACGUAGGUCCCGAGCGUUGUCCGGAUUUAUUGGGCGUAAAGCGAGCGCAGGCGGUUAGAUAAGUCUGAAGUUAAAGGCUGUGGCUUAACCAUAGUAGGCUUUGGAAACUGUUUAACUUGAGUGCAAGAGGGGAGAGUGGAAUUCCAUGUGUAGCGGUGAAAUGCGUAGAUAUAUGGAGGAACACCGGUGGCGAAAGCGGCUCUCUGGCUUGUAACUGACGCUGAGGCUCGAAAGCGUGGGGAGCAAACAGGAUUAGAUACCCUGGUAGUCCACGCUGUAAACGAUGAGUGCUAUGUUAGACCCUUUCCGGGGUUUAGUGCCGUAGCUAACGCAUUAAGCACUCCGCCUGGGGAGUACGACCGCAAGGUU
rnacentral:rRNA from 1 species